rnacentral:rRNA from 1 species
CAGCCGCCGCGGGAAUACGUAGGGGGCAAGCGUUAUCCGGAAUAACUGGGCGUAAAGGGUGCGCAGGUGGUUUAACAAGUUAGUGGUGAAAGGCAUAGGCUCAACCAAUGUAAGCCAUUAAAACUGUUUAACUUGAGUGCAGGAGAGGAAAGUGGAAUUCCUAGUGUAGCGGUGAAAUGCGUAGAUAUUAGGAGGAAUACCAGUGGCGAAGGCGACUUUCUGGACUGCAACUGACACUGAGGCACGAAAGCGUGGGGAGCAAACAGGAUUAGAUACCCCAGUCCCUGUCUCUUAUACACAU